GAAUUUCUAGAUUCGCGUACGGAAUGAGGCUUCUGAGGGCAAAACAACCAGUCAGAAAAAUUUACCCCUUUUGCAAUAGAUUGGGAGAUGCAGAUAAAAGUGCUAACUUUCCAACAAAGAAAAGGAGAAAAUAAGGAGCUCCUGCACAACAAUCAAAGAACGCAUUCCACUGUCUCUGAGAGGUUUCGGAUCCUCUCUCUUCAAGAGUGCCGCUUAAGGGCAGUUCAUGGACCAGUCAAGUGCAGACAGUUAAACAGAGAAAAACCAGUGGAAUGAAACCAGUCGAGCCAGUGGGAAAGCAAAGAGAAGAUGCGUGGGUCAGUCCGGAGGCAACUUAACAGAACCCGGGGUCCUUUGGAGGGAGG
rnacentral:lncRNA from 1 species